UUAAAUUGAAGAGUUUGAUCAUGGCUCAGAUUGAACGCUGGCGGCAGGCCUAACACAUGCAAGUCGAACGGUAACAGGAAUCAGCUUGCUGAUUCGCUGACGAGUGGCGGACGGGUGAGUAAUGUCUGGGAAACUGCCUGAUGG
rnacentral:rRNA from 1 species